AGGGGGCGCUGAGAUUGUUGAGCGCGUUUCACUGAGUUUGGUGAGUGGAACAGGUAGAGCGAGCUGACGCGCUUCCGGCCGCAGGUGAGAGAGCUGUAGUCAUGAACGCGCGGGUCAAACGAAACUUCCUCACGCUCUGCGCUUGGACGCGGAGGUCUUGAUUGUUUGGGAUUCAAAAUAACAACAACAGCGGGUCCUUCGCGGAUAUCACAGCAGUUUCUCAGGUUAAAGUUCCCUUCCAAAAUGUAAAAGGAUGACCACUGUGUAGUCACUACUUACCAGGUACUUUGCCUCUCUUGAACGGACACACCCUUAGAACACUCUUACACAGAUAUUCUCAGUCUGUGUUUGUUUUCACGUGUGUGUGGAGCAUCAUGAGUUCGGUGAGCGCAUCGGGCCUGUGCAUGCCGGUGUUGUUCCUUCUGGCUCUGGCCCUGGUUCUGUUCUCGUGCGUUCUCCGUAAGAAGCGGCAGAUGGAGGGAUCAUACCAACCCAGCUCGGAAGAGCGGAAACAAGCCAAGAACCACGGAGCCGAGAGACCUGGUCUUGCUCUUCCACUGCCCAAAGAGGAGAGACUGAUCUGAAUGCAGCCCUCAUUCAAAAGAUGCUGAAACCACACCACUGUUUAAGUUGAUCAGGUAAACCUAAACAGAACUCUCAUUACAACUUCAUAUCGAUAUUUAUGUGGAGUCCACUCAUGUGUGCAGUCAUGGCAAACAAGUGAGGCUCAUGGAUGGAGAUCGUUUGAAGUGGUGGGUAUUUAUUUGACGCUUUUGACUGAGAUGUGAGAAUACUUUCAUAUCAUAAUGCACUAUUAAAGUCGAUAAAUCAAUUUAAGUAUGCCUUAAGAUGUUUUGCUGUCACACUUGGGACAUCUGAAGACACUGGCAAGUGCAUAAGUAAUCAUAAGAAUAGAAACCAGAAGAUUUAGAUGGACGGCCAAACCAGUUUGACUUUGUUUACUUUAUCUGUACUUUAAGUUUACUCACCUGAGAGUCUUCGUGAAGGAGACAUGGCAGCUUUACCUUCAAAACAGUUUACCAUUAUCAUAUCGAAUACUUUAAAUGUCCAAAAGCGAACAUUAUGUUUCAGUUUUUUCUAAGGUAGAGAGAGAGAACUAUAUAUUGCACUUUGCCAAAUGUUGUUUUGUAUUAGGUUUGCAUUUCUGUAAUGUCUGUAACACAUCAAUAUUCAGAAUGACGUUGAUCAUAAUGUGAUGAAGUGACUGUGUAACUGUGGAUGAUUAAUUAAAAUGCAUCUGUGAAUUAA